rnacentral:rRNA from 1 species
ACCUACGGGACGCAGCAGUAGGGAAUCUUCCACAAUGGACGAAAGUCUGAUGGAGCAACGCCGCGUGAGUGAAGAAGGGUUUCGGCUCGUAAAGCACUGUUGGUAGUGAAGAAAGAUAGAGGUAGUAACUGGCCUUUAUUUGACGGUAAUUACUUAGAAAGUAACGGCUAACUACGUGCCAGCAGCCGCGGUAAUACGUAGGGGGGAAGCGUUGUCCGGAUUUAUUGGGCGUAGAGCGAGUG